rnacentral:misc_RNA from 1 species
UAUGAAGAACGUAGCGAAAUGCGAUAAGUAAUGUGAAUUGCAGAAUUCAGUGAAUCAUCGAAUCUUUGAACGCACAUUGCGCCCGCCAGUAUUCUGGCGGGCAUGCCUGUUCGAGCGUCAUUACAACCCUCAGGCCCCCGGGCCUGGCGUUGGGGAUCGGCGGAGCCCCCCGUGGGCACACGCCGUCCCCCAAAUGCAGUGGCGGUCCCGCCGCAGCUUCCAUCGCGUAGUAGCUAACACCUCGCGACUGGAGAGCGGCGCGGCCACGCCGUAAAACACCCAACUCUUCUGAAGUUGACCUCGAAUCAGGUAGGAAUACCCGCUGAACUUAAGCAUAUCAAUAAGCGGAGGA